AUACGUAGGGGGCGAGCGUUGUCCGGAAUGAUUGGGCGUAAAGGGCGCGUAGGCGGCGCGGUAAGUCUGGAGUGAAAGUCCUGCUUUCAAGGUGGGAAUUGCUUUGGAUACUGCCGCGCUUGAGUGCAGGAGAGGUUAUCGGAAUUCCCGGUGUAGCGGUGAAAUGCGUAGAGAUCGGGAGGAACACCAGUGGAGAAGGCGGGUAACUGGACUGCAACUGACGCUGAGGCGCGAAAGUGUGGGGAGCAAACAGGAUUAGAUACCCUGGUAGUCCACACUGUAAACGAUGAAUGCUAGGUGUAAGAGGUAUCGACCCCUUUUGUGCCGGAGUCAACACAAUAAGCAUUCCGCCUGGGGAGUACGGCCGCAAGGUUGAAACUCAAAUGAAUUGACGGGG
rnacentral:rRNA from 1 species